rnacentral:rRNA from 1 species
GACGAACGCUGGCGGCGUGCUUAACACAUGCAAGUCGAACGGAAAGGCCCUGCUUUUGUGGGGUGCUCGAGUGGCGAACGGGUGAGUAACACGUGAGUAACCUGCCCUUGACUUGGGAUAACUUUAGGAAACUGGGGCUAAUACCGGAUAGGAGCUCCUGCUGCCUGGUUGGGGUUGGAAAGUUUCUGCGGUUGGGGAUGGGCUCGUUGCUUAUUCGCUUGUUGGUGGGGUGGUGGCUUACCCAGGCUUUGACGGGUAGCCGGCCUGAGGGGGUUACCGGGAAAAUGGGGACUGAGAUACGGCACGGAGGACUCCGGGAGGACGACGUGGGGGAGAUUGCACAGUGGGAGGAAGCCUGAACAAGCAACGCCGUGUGAGGGAUGACGGUCUGCGGGUAGGAAAAAGCUGCCGCCGGUGACGAAGCGUGAGUGACGGUAAUGGGUAACGAAGCACCGGCUAACUACGUG